UCCUUUUCAACCGUCUUCUCUCUCCAGAGGUGGCCCCUGUUGACAGCUUCUGCUGAGCUAUCACAAGCAAGGGCUGUAGACUGGAUGCCUUCAUACUUCUUAGCCAACAGGUGCCAGUGGGUCUCCGUGUGGGUAGUUUGGGUCUCUCAUGAGAAGUUGCCAAGAGAGGGAGAUGAUUUCUGCAUGGUCUGUCAUCCUUUGCUGAGGCAUUGGUCUCUGAUUUUCUUCAGGAAAGCUUUACAGCCUGUAUCUAUAGCCAAGUGUGUAUAUUUGGUUACUAGAAGAGACUACAGGACUGAGAGAAACAUUGACUUAUAGUCUGAGUUCUUCUGAGUGACCUUAGGCAAGUCCCAGCUCUCCCGGCCUCAGUGUCCUCAUCUGCAAAAUGGGGGGAUAUUGCCUCCAUGAUAAUCAUAAAAAGAUGAUACCUUUUAGGAGUUCCCCUUGUGGCUCAGUGGGUUAUAAACCUGACUGGUACCUAUGAGGAUGCGGGUUUGAUCCCUGGCCUCGCUCAGUGGGUUAAGAAUCCAGUGUUACAGUGAGCUGGUGGAGGACACUGCUUGGAUUGGGUGUGGCUGGGGCUGGGGCUGGGGCUGGCAGCUGCAGCUCUGAUUUGAACCCUGGUCUGGGAACUUCCAUAUGCCGUGGAGUAAUAAAAAAAAAAAAAAAAAAAACAAAAAAAAAAAAAACAAAACUUUUAGUAAGCCAAGCACUAAAACAUCACUUUUUGUUUCCUCACAACCAUUCCUCUGAGGUAGGUACUAUUAUCCGCUUUUAUAGGUGAGGUAGCUGAGGCUCAGAGAGGCUAAAUAAGGUGCCUCAGGUUGUGCGGCUGUUAGGUGAUGAUGCCAGGAUGCCUGAGGUCUGACUGUAGAGCCGUAGCUCUUAAUUACUCACUAAAUGUUCUCCUGAAGGUUCCAUCUGGUCCUGAUACUAAGAGACCUGGGCAGGGGAGUUUUGCUGUGGCUGUGACAAGGGAUGCAGGUCAGUGGGCAGUGCUUGGGGAGCGCAGCCCUGCAGCAGAGGGGCCUGGAGGGGCCUCUCAAGGCUGUUAGCAUAUUCAUGCUUUUCUAGAUUUAUCUGCAGGACUCCAGAGUGGAGGUCUGUCUCCCUUCCAUGUCAGGCUUUGAGAGGACACAGGCUUGCUCAAGGUUACUUGGUGAGUUCGCAGGGGACCCAGCCAGGCCCAGGAACACCCCCCGCCCCCCGCUCCCCUUCUCCAUUUGAGCCCAAGCUUUCUGGGGGAGCCAGGAAGAGUGGGUACCCCCAGCCCUACAGUAUUUCCUGAGAAAAUGCAGGCAGACGCAGGGAAAACUAGGUCCCAGGAGCCAUGCAUUUUUGGGGGGAGGCAAAGAAAGAGACUAGUGUUCAGGCAGCUGGGGGAUGUGAAGUAAAAAUAUCUCCUCUCUUUGAACCAAGUGAGCAUUGAGCAUGUGUCAUAUUUCAGCCUGAUGUGGUUUGUGAGUUUGGAGACCACAGGCAGGCUGGGUUCCUGCUGCUCUUCAGCUUUUCCUCCCCACCCCCACCCCCUUCUGUAGACCGCU
rnacentral:lncRNA from 1 species